CGCCUUGCCAGCCCGCUCAGAAACUCAAAGGAAUUGACGGGGGCCCGCACAAGCGGAGGAACAUGUGGUUUAAUUCGAUGAUACGCGAGGAACCUUACCUGGGCUUAAAUGUAGGUUGCAUAACUUAGAAAUAGGUUUUUCCCUUCGGGGCUACUUACAAGGUGCUGCAUGGCUGUCGUCAGCUCGUGCCGUGAGGUGUUGGGUUAAGUCCCGUAACGAGCGCAACCCCUAUCAUUAGUUGCCAUCAGGUCAUGCUGGGGACUCUAAUGAGACUGCCCGCGCAAGCGGUGAGGAAGGUGGGGACGACGUCAAGUCAUCACGGCCCUUACGUCCAGGGCUACACACGUGCUACAAUGGUAGAUACAGCAGGUUGCCACAUGGUAACAUGGAGCUAAUCCCAAAAGUCUAUCUCAGUUCGGAUUGAGGUCUGCAACUCGACCUCAUGAAGCUGGAUUCGCUAGUAAUCGAAAAAUCAGCAAUGUUUCGGUGAAUACGUUCCCGGGCCUU
rnacentral:rRNA from 1 species